rnacentral:lncRNA from 1 species
CCCACUCCUCCCUCCGCAUUAAAUGAGCUUUGGGCUCCGCAGUUAUUUGUGACCGACCUUAAACUUUCCCUGACCCUUUUUCGGGACCUUGGGACUCGGGGGUCGUGUUGGCCGUCGGGGGUCGCGGCUCUGGGAAAAAAGGAUCUCGGGUGCCCUGCUCCCUGGUUCUUAAAAACACACACACACACAUAGUAAACUCUUGGGUUUCGGGAAGUUCACGUUCGCCACUCCCCCACCUAACCUUUGGGAACUUUUAAUUCGGAGUCGUGGCGGACGUAAAGGUUAGUGGAUGGGCGCUCAGAUGGGCAAAAUGAUUGCACGCCAGUCUCGCUCAGGGACCCCACUCCGAAUUUUGAUGUUCCGUUUGCUCGGAGCUUUCCCUGGAGAACUUCAGUUGGGGAAGAGAGAGGAGCCUAAAGGAGCCGGGCUAGGGAGGUGCUUUUUAAACUAUGGUUUCCAGAGAUUGUGAGUCCUCGACGCUCUGUGUUGUUUCCUCUCAGUGUAACUCGGCUCCCAGUUGCAGCGUGGCAGUAUUUUGGAAAGGCUGAAGGUAGAAAACUCUGGAAUGGAGACUGGCGACUUGGAGCAGGAACUGGGGCUUUAAAAUUUAACCUGAGUUCGAUCGAAUGCGACUACCCGAAGAGGUGGCCCGCGUCGGCUGGCGCGGGAGGUUUCGGAUGCCUUCCUUUUGGGUUCCUUCGUGAGUUUCGGCUACAUUUUAGCUGUCUCCUCUUUGGGGAUUUGCUCAUCCUGAACGAAGUCGUUUCUUUCGGGAAUAACUGGACCCAAGCAUCAGCCCCUCCGGAGCCAGCCGUCCCUCCCCGAAACCCUCCUCAUCCCGGGAGACGAACCUGGCUCCCGGCGCGGCCUAUCCCCAGGGCUGAUUUAUUCGGGCCCCGCUACACCCACUAUUUGCGAUCCGAAUUCAGCCAGAGCACGGCAACCAAUUGGCCAGGGGGCGGGGGCUUUGCUGCCAAACGGGAAGGGGCGUCUGGGGGCCCCGCCGGGUGCUGCUUCCGGAGCAGCGAGGCCCCGCGGCAGCACGCACCUUUGCCUGGCGCGGUCGGGCUCAUUAUUGCCGCUGCACAAAGUUCCGAGCUGUUUCGGCGACGUUUCCGAAAGAAAAGGAAGUCAGCUUUCGACUGAGACAUACUUUUAACUUUAGAUGUUUUUCAACCCAGAUUUAUGGGGCCUUCUCACUCGCACCAUAUUUCUUACUGCCGGGGGCGACGCUUUCGCCGCAGGGCCCGGGGGGGUUUCGGCGCCCCGGGCAGCGUCCCGGCGCGGGAGCCUCUCCUCUGCGCGGGGAGACCCCCCGCUCCACCAUCCGCCCCGCGCAGCCAUCGCCCGGGGCUCUGGCUUGACUUGCAGGUUAUUUUAAGUCUCUAAAACCCCAAAAGUACUCUUUAGAAAUGUCAGGUGGUGGCGGCAGAAGCGCGAAAGCGACGCGGCCUAGAGAUCAUCCCCUGUCCUCGCCCGAUCCCCCGGCCCCCUUUCCUCUGCCCGUCGCUUCCGGGAAGGGCCCCGCAGACUCCAGCCCCGGGCGCGCAGAGCCGGGCCGAGAGCGCGCGGCCUCGGGCAGGCCCAGCCCCAGCCCCGCGGC